UGACAUGGUGAGAGAGGAAGCAAGAGAGAUAGUGGGGAGAUGCCAGGCUCUUUGCAACAACCAGCUCUUGUGGGGAAUAAUAGGAUUAGGACUCACUCACUCCCUAGGGAGGGCAUUAAUUUAUUCAUGAGGGAUUCUCCCUCAUGACUCAAAUACCUCCUGUAAGGUUCCAUCUCAAAUUUCAAUAUGAGUUUUAUUGAGAGCAAACAUCCAAACUGGAGCACCUCAGAACACUUUUCUCCUUGGAAAUGUCUGUCCUUAUCAAGUAGUCAACAAAUAUUGACUGAGUGUUACUCUCAGGUAGACACAGAGGUGACCAUGACAGAUUCAUUCCUGUUCAGAAGUGACACAGAUAAUAACAUGUAAAGUAAUGAAGUUCAUUUUAUAUACUGUAAAGGAUAAGUCAGAGGUCAGAUCAUGUCACACCUCUGCUCACAACCUACCGGUGAAUCUCAGUUUCAUGCAAAAUUAACUUCAGAGUUUUUACCUCAUUAUUCAAGGUCUGGUAAGAUUUUCACACACUCUCUUCAUCUCUGGUUUGAUGUCCUGUUCCUUUACCCCCUUAUUCACUGCAUGUCAACUACAAGGGCUUUCUUCCUGUUCCUUGAAGUCACACUCUGCCUUUAGGGUAUCUGCACUUGCUGUUUCCUCUUCUCAGACUGAUUUUUCAUAGAUAUCUACAUGGAUAACUCCCUCUCCUACUUUAUUUCCUUGCUAAAUAUUUUUGUCAACUUCUCAAUGAAGCUUACCUUGACCACCUUCUCAAAACGGCAACCCACCUCCAAGUUGGUUCUUCCUCCUCCUCAUUACUAGGCACUAUUGUCUCUAAUACUCACUACCUGCUAACAUACUUACUUACUAUUUUUGCCUCUCUCUCCUUCCAUUAGAAUCUAAGCUUCAUGAGGGCAGAUAUUUUUGCUCAUUUUGUUCAAUGAUUUAGCUCAAGGACUUUUAACGGUAGCUAGCACACAGUAAACAUUCAGUAAAUAGCUGAGAGAAUGAAUAAGGGCUGUAAAGAAAAGAAAACAUGUUGUUAUAAUGUGUGUGCCUGUGUGAAGUACAUAGCUGUGUAUGUGAGAUAGCCUAAGUGCAUGCAUGUAUGUUUUUGUGUGUGCACAUGUGACUGUGGGAUGUAUGUAUAGCUGUUAUGUGUGUGCGGUUCUGUGUGUAAAGACAUGUGUGUAAGGUUGUGCAUGUUUGUGCCCAUGUGUGCCUAUGUGUCAGUACAUGGAUGUAUGUGAGACUGUGUAUGUGUACAUGUGUGCAAGUGUGUGUAGAGCUGUAUGCGCAGGUGUACAGGUGUUUAUGUAUACUUACAUGCAUGCAUGUGUGUUGGUAGAUGUGGAUGUGUGUGAAUGUAUGUGUGAGACUGUGUAUGUAACUAUGUGUGUGACUGUCAUGUAUAUGUAGCUCUGUAGUUAAGUGUAUGUCUAUGUAUCUGUUUAUGAGUUUGGCAUGUGCAUAAGAUUGUAAGUGUAACUGUGUGUAUUCAUGUGUGUGAGUGUCUAGAAGUGUGACUAGAUAUUUGUGUGUGCUUGCAUGUGUGAGUGUCUAUGUGUGGCAGUGAAACUGCAGAUGUGUGUGGCUGUAUCUAUAUUUGUGUGUGUGUGCAUGUGUCUGAGUGUGUGUAAGUCCUAAAUAGCACUCACACUAUUUACAGUGGUCUGAAAACACCUCUCUGGGUGCUCCUUUGCACCUGGCCACUGGGGACACUGCCAAGUCAUGAUGCUGGACUUUGCUGACUUUCUUUUCCAUUCUUUCUGUUUUUCAAAUGUUGACCUUUAGACACAUUUCAGGACAGCACAUUCCUGUGGGAAAUCUGUGAGGUGGAAAAUCAAAAUUCUCCUGAUGACUGUUUAUAAAGAAUAACGGCUAGCUCAUGUCUUCAGUGUUUUAUAGAAGUGCUCACAUGUAAUCUAAACAAGAACUCUACAAGAGAGGUAUCCAGAGCCACAUUUUAUAGAUAAGGAAAUUGAGGCUCAGAGAGGACUAGAAAUUUGGCUAAGCUCCUGCAGCUGAGUUGGGGGCUGCAUCUGACAAGUGGCCGUGGUUUCAAGUCUCUGGAGUCCCAUUUUUUUCUCUUCCAUGGAGUUUGUUUGCUGCAGUUUGAGGAGCCGAGGCAUAUGAUAAAUACCAGCAUGUGGAAACUGAGGCUCAGACAGUUCAAGUCAGCCACCCAAGGAGGUAAGUGGCACCACAAAACCUGAACCCAGGUCUGGUUCACAUCACGUCUAGCUCUUAAGCACUCUGCCGAUGCCCCAACACCUACAUCCUCAGUGUCUGAAUUGAAAAAUAUGAGAAAAUGAGAAACAAAUGCAGGUUUUGGUGGUAUCGGGCCUGGCAUUCGAAUCCCAGCUCUGCCACUUACAGCUGUGCAAGUUUGGAUGAGUGACUCCAUCUUUCUGAGCCUCAGAUCUCUCUUCUGUAAAAUGGGGAUCACCAGGCGAUUGUUUCUGUCUCAGGGCCUUUGAACCUGCUCUUCUGUCUCUGGGACAGUGUCCUCCCCGACCCCCACAUCUGCACAGCUCGCUCCCUCACCUUUCGGUUUGCUCAAACGUGGUCCUCGCAAACCCCUUCCUGGCUACCCUAUUUAAAAUCCUGCACCACCAUUCCGUAGUCCCUAUUCACUACUUGUACUUUAUUUUCCUCCUUAGCACUGACACUGUCCGACAUACUCUAAUUUUUAAAAUUA